AAAAGAGGGGGGAAAAGCGCUCAACUCUCCCCCAAGCCGCGGCGCGCACCCGUCGGCGCCGAGCGCGCAGCCUGCUCCGCCGCCGCCGCCUCCCGGUCCCGCCGCCGCCGCCGCCGCCGCCGGGCAGAUACCAAGAGACUCUUCAGCUCCCACUCAGGCUGAUGGUUGCUACUGACUCCCCACUCAUCCCAUGAAAUCUUCCAGGGCUGAUUAGGAUCUAUAAGAUACGAAUGUAGAGACACAGAGAGGUAAUGACAUUUACUGUAUACUAUUGGAUAGAGCAUCCCUGACUUGAAGACCUAGACUCCUGAGCACUCAUCAAUAGCACCAAGGUGGCAAAGCUGUGCUUCCACCAUUAAAGCAAGCUCAAGCUAGCAUACUGAAGAGACCUGCCAAGAUCAGCAAAGCUGACUACAGAUGGACAAGCGAACCCAGCUGAGAACAGAGCAUUGCCUGGCCACCCUGUGGAUUCUUCCCUCUUUUUUCUUUCUCUCCCUUCCUCCCUUUCUUCUUUCUUUUUUUUCUCUUUUUCUUUUUAAAAAAUAUUUAUUUAUUUAUUUAUUUGAGAGAGAGAGAGAGAAAACGUAAGGGGGGGAGGGGCAGAGGGAGAGGGAGAGGAAGAAUCUUAAGCAGGCUCCACACCCAGCGCAGAGCCUGACAUGGGGCUUGAGAUCAUGACCUAAGCUGAAAUCAAGAGUCGGACGCUUAUCCGACUGAGCCACCCAGGUGCCCCUCUCUCCCUUUUUCAAUAAAGAUACAGUUUUCUUUAAUAUUGCCUAAAUGAUGUACUCAAUAGCCCAUCACAUCUACCAGGAUUAGGCCUGUAGCAAUGGAGAUUAGGCAAAGCAUUUCUUAGUUCUGGCAACCUACAAUGCAAACAGACCCUUCAUGAAGCCAGUGCACCCAGAAAAUAGUGUAAAAAUUUUCAUAAUAAAACAAAAAUUAGUCUCUCAAUAAAGGAGCUGCUUGAUACACAAUCUACUAUUUUCCUGCAUUAGAUUUUACCUAGUUGUAUUAUUUAAAACAGAAAUAUAUAUAUUUCUCUUUUGUCCUCUGGUGUAAAUGAGAUGCAUGCACAUGUUUUUAUUCUUGCCUGCAGCAUUCAUGGUCAACCGACCCUCUGUCUCUGGAUAUCAAGGGAAUGAAGAGAUGUAAAGCUUUUUAUCUGGGAUUUAAAGGAACAUUCUGGUGAGGAUAUCACAAACUUUCAUCGAGGUGGCCAUAUUUUCACAUGAGAGGCCUUCACUAAGAAAUUGUUAUGGAUAAUAAUGCAAUGAAAAGGCAAGUGACUGUUCCAAGGGAUAUUUCACAUGGAAAGAAUAUUUUUAGAAGGAAAGAGUUAAUUUCCUAAGAAUGUGAUUUAUAAAACUAAGAGAAAAGCCAAUGGUUUUACUAUCAUUGUAUUAAAUUGUAAUAGUUUGUUAAAUAAUAUCUCGGAAUUCCUUUAGGUGACAAUUAGCAGAUCCCUUCCUGGAGAUCAUGGAAACAAGCAGUGGGUUUGAGCAAGAUGUUGGUAUAGAAAAUAGAUGUGUUGGAUGGAUCCAAAAUACCCCUGGGGUAGAAGAACAAUAUUAGCUGUAAAAUAGCCAAAUUAAAAAUCAUUUAA